rnacentral:rRNA from 149 species
AGUCGUAACAAGGUUUCCGUAGGUGAACCUGCGGAAGGAUCAUUG